UAUUUAUAAUAUUUAUAUUUAUUAAUAUUUAUUUUACUUAAUAUGAUAUUUAAAGAGGCUAUGUAACUGACACAUAUCUCAUUUAAUAUGUCAGGUUCCAAAUAGAAGGACCUAUAAACAUUUCUUAGAUAAAGAGAACAUAUGUCCAGACCUUAUCUGCACACAGUCAAAGGUCCUAAAUCAGUCACUUCACAAUGAGGCUACCCUUACCUCAUGUAGAAAGCCAGUGCUACAGGCAACCUUACUUGAUGCAAGCUACGAGGAGAAUUUCCCUCAGAUUGAUCCUAUGCAUGAGCAACCCGAGCCGUUGGAAAGCAACACAUCACAGACGACCUUACUUGAUGCAAGCUACGAGGAGAAUUUCUCCCAGAUUGAUCCUAUGCAUGAGCAACCCGAGCCGUUGGAAAGCAACACAUCACAGGUACUAUUACACACAUGUGAUGGACCACAUCAGUUUACAAUGAUAUCAAUAUCAAAGCAUGUUCAAAGUUGUGAAAUAUCAACAAAAAUCUAAUUGUAUAAACUUUGCCAAAUCUAUACAUUGCUAAUUUUAUAUAUUUUUCAAAAUAUACGACAAUACAGACAA